GACUUGAUAGCUCAGUUGGUAAAGAAUCUGCCUGCAAUGCAGGAGACCCUGGUUGGAUUCCUGGGUCGAGAUA
rfam:Ovis aries breed Texel chromosome 1, whole genome shotgun sequence.